rnacentral:rRNA from 1 species
AUUGAACGCUGGCGGAAUGCUUUACACAUGCAAGUCGAGCGGCAGCGCGGGGCAACCUGGCGGCGAGCGGCGAACGGGUGAGUAAUACAUCGGAACGUGCCCAGACGUGGGGGAUAACUACUCGAAAGAGUGGCUAAUACCGCAUACGAUCUAAGGAUGAAAGCGGGGGAUCGCAAGACCUCGCGCGUUUGGAGCGGCCGAUGGCAGAUUAGGUAGUUGGUGGGGUAAAGGCUUACCAAGCCCGCGAUCUGUAGCUGGUCUGAGAGGAUGAUCAGCCACACUGGGACUGAGACACGGCCCAGACUCCUACGGGAGGCAGCAGUGGGGAAUUUUGGACAAUGGGCGAAAGCCUGAUCCAGCCAUUCCGCGUGCAGGAUGAAGGCCCUCGGGUUGUAAACUGCUUUUGUUACAGAACGAAAAAGCUACUUUCUAAUACAGAGAGUCCAUGACGGUACUGUAAGAAUAAAGACACCGGCUAACUACGUGCCAGCACG